UACGUAGGGACCAAGCGUUGUUCGGAUUUACUGGGCGUAAAGGGCGCGUAGGCGGCGCGGUAAGUCACUUGUGAAAUCUCUGAGCUUAACUCAGAACGGCCAAGUGAUACUGCAGUGCUAGAGUGUGGAAGGGGCAAUCGGAAUUCUUGGUGUAGCGGUGAAAUGCGUAGAUAUCGGGAGGAAUACCGAUGGCGAAGGCAGGUCUCUGGGCUGACACUGACGCUCAUGCACGAAAGCGUGGGGAGCAAACAGG
rnacentral:rRNA from 1 species